AUUGAACGCUGGCGGCAGGCUUAACACAUGCAAGUCGAGCGGAGAUGAGGUGCUUGCACCUUAUCUUAGCGGCGGACGGGUGAGUAAUGCUUAGGAAUCUGCCUAUUAGUGGGGGACAACAUUCCGAAAGGAAUGCUAAUACCGCAUACGUCCUACGGGAGAAAGCAGGGGAUCUUCGGACCUUGCGCUAAUAGAUGAGCCUAAGUCGGAUUAGCUAGUUGGUGGGGUAAAGGCCUACCAAGGCGACGUUCUGUAGCGGGUCUGAGAGGAUGAUCCGCCACACUGGGACUGAGACACGGCCCAGACUCCUACGGGAGGCAGCAGUGGGGAAUAUUGGACAAUGGGGGGAACCCUGAUCCAGCCAUGCCGCGUGUGUGAAGAAGGCCUUAUGGUUGUAAAGCACUUUAAGCGAGGAGGAGGCUACUGAGACUAAUACUCUUAGAUAGUGGACGUUACUCGCAGAAUAAGCACCGGCUAACUCUGUGCCAGCCGCCGCGGUAAAAC
rnacentral:rRNA from 1 species